CGCAUCUGUGCAUGCAGCAUAUCAAUAAGCGGAGGAAAAGAAACUAACAAGGAUUCCCUUAGUAACGGCGAGUGAAGCGGGAAGAGCUCAAAUUUGAAAUCUUCAAGGUUUUACCUUGACGAAUUGUAGUUUAAAGAAGUGUUUUCUGCUGAAGUUUUGGUAAAAGUUCUUUGGAAUAGGACAUCAUAGAGGGUGAGAAUCCCGUAUUUGACCAUUAUUUUCAGCUUUGUGAUACACUUUCAAAGAGUCGGAUUGUUUGGGAAUGCAGUCCAAAAUGGGUGGUAAAUUUCAUCUAAAGCUAAAUAUUGGCGAGAGACCGAUAGCGAACAAGUACCGUGAGGGAGAGAUGAACAGAACUUUGAAAAGAGAGUUAAACAGUACGUGAAAUUGUCAAAAGGGAAGCGUUUGACACCAGUGUUGUUUUCUCGAAAAUCAAUUAAAAAUGGCUCGAUUUUGUAUUGCUUGAGACCUUAAAAGCUCACUGUACAUUUUUCGUGUCUUUUUUAAUGCACUUUUCGUUUAACAAGUCAACAUCAGUUUCUUUUGUUGUAAAAGGGUCAUUGGAAGGUGGCUUUCUUUUCGGAGAAAGUGUUUAUAGCCUUUGGCCUCUGCAAUCGAAGAGACUGAGGUCUGCAGCGUAGACUCUUCGGGGUUAGAUACAUUUGUGCUAAGUUAUAGCUUUUUAUAGACAACUUGUUGACUAUAAUUAGUCUUGUAGCUUACUCGCUUAUGCUAUUUUACCUACGCUUAGGAUGUUGAUAGUCACAGCGUGUAC
rnacentral:rRNA from 1 species